ACUCCUACGGGAGGCAGCAGUGGGGAAUCUUGGACAAUGGGGCAACCCUGAUCCAGCCAUGCCGCGUGAGUGAUGAAGGCCCUAGGGUCGUAAAGCUCUUUCGCCUGUGAAGAUAAUGACUGUAGCAGGUAAAGAAACCCCGCUACAUCCGUGCCAGCAGCCGCGGUAAUACGGAGGGGGUUAGCGUUGUUCGGAAUUACUGGGCGUAAAGCGCGCGUAGGCGGACU
rnacentral:rRNA from 1 species